UGAUCCUACGGGGGCAGCAGUGGGGAAUAUUGCACAAUGGGGGAAACCCUGAUGCAGCGACGCCGCGUGAGCGAGGAAGUACCUCGGUAUGUAAAGCUCUGUCAGCAGGGAAGAAAAUGACAGUACCUGACCAAGAAGCCCCGGCUAACUACGUGCCAGCAGCCGCGGUAAUACGUAGGGGGCAAGCGUUAUCCGGAUUCACUGGGCGUAAAGGGAGCGCAGGCGGCACGGCAAGUCUGAUGUGAAAACCCGGGGCUCAACCCCUAAACUGCGCUUGAAACUGUGGAGCUUGAGUGAAGUAGAGG
rnacentral:rRNA from 1 species